CAGAGAAUAGUUUAAAAAAUAUUAAUUUUGGAGAUUAAAGUUGAGGUAUUCCUUUUCUCUGA
rnacentral:tRNA from 1 species